rnacentral:rRNA from 1 species
AACCUGGUUGAUCCUGCCAGUAGUCAUAUGCUUGUCUCAAAGAUUAAGCCAUGCAUGUCUAAGUAUAAGUUUUGUACAGCGAAACUGUGAAUGGCUCAUUAUAACAGUUAUUAUUUCCUAGCCGGCCCGUUGUUCCUUGGAUACCCAUGGUAAUUCUAGAGCUAAUACAUGCUUGCAAACCUAACUUUACGGAAGGGUUGCGCUUAUUAGAUACCGAACCAACCCAGGUUCUGCCUGGUUUGUGUGGAUUCAUAGUAUUUCAGCGAAUCGACUCAAUAGAGUUGAUGAGGCUAUCAAGUUUCUGACCUAUCAGCUUCCGACGGUAGGGUAUUGGCCUACCGUGGCUUUGACGGGUAACGGAGAAUUAGGGUUCGAUUCCGGAGAGGGAGCCUGAGAAACGGCUACCACAUCUAAGGAAGGCAGCAGGCGCGUAAAUUACCCAAUCCUGACACAGGGAGGUAGUGACAAGAAA